GUGCCAGCAGCCGCGGUGAUACCGGCAGCUCAAGUGAUGUUCCAUAUUAUUGGGCCUAAAGCGUCCGUAGCUGGCCGACCAAGUCUCCCGGGAAAUCCACCCGCCCAACGGGUGGGCGUCCGGUAGAAACUGGCCGGCUUGGAACCGGAAGGCUCAGAGAGUACGUCCGGGGUAGGAGUGAAAUCCCGUAAUCCCGGACGGACUACCGAUGGCGAAAGCACUCUGAGAAGACGGCUUCGACAGUAAGGGACGAAAGCCAGGGUCUCCAACCGGAUUAGAAACCCGUGUAGUCC
rnacentral:rRNA from 1 species